rnacentral:rRNA from 1 species
UACGUAGGUGACCAGCGUUGUCCGGAUUUACUGGGCGUAAAGCGCACGUAGGCGGUCUUUUAAGUCGGGGGUGAAAUCCUGGAGCUCAACUCCAGAACUGCCUUCGAUACUGGAAGACUUGAGUCCGGGAGAGGUGAGUGGAACUGCGAGUGUAGAGGUGAAAUUCGUAGAUAUUCGCAAGAACACCAGUGGCGAAGGCGGCUCACUGGCCCGGUACUGACGCCGAGGUGCGAAAGCGUGGGGAGCAAACAGG